rnacentral:rRNA from 1 species
GAUGAACGCUAGCUACAGGCUUAACACAUGCAAGUCGAGGGGAAACGAUAGAGAAAGCUUGCUUUUUCUAGGCGUCGACCGGCGCACGGGUGAGUAACGCGUAUCCAACCUGCCCACCACUUGGGAAUAACCUUGCGAAAGUAAGACUAAUACCCAAUGAUAUCUCUAGAAGACAUCUGAAGGAGAUUAAAGAUUUAUCGGUGAUGGAUGGGGAUGCGUCUGAUUAGCUUGUUGGCGGGGUAACGGCCCACCAAGGCGACGAUCAGUAGGGGUUCUGAGAGGAAGGUCCCCCACAUUGGAACUGAGACACGGUCCAAACUCCCACGGGAGGCAGCAGUGAGGAAUAUUGGUCAAUGGGCGAGAGCCUGAACCAGCCAAGUAGCGUGCAGGAUGACGGCCCUAUGGGUUGUAAACUGCUUUUAUAAGGGAAUAAAGUGAGCCUCGUGAGGCUUUUUGCAUGUACCUUAUGAAUAAGGACCGGCUAAUUCCGUGCCAGCAGCCGCAGUAA